rnacentral:rRNA from 1 species
AUACGUAGGGGGCGAGCGUUGUCCGGAAUGAUUGGGCGUAAAAGGCGCGUAGGCGGCCCGGUAAGUCUGGAGUGAAAGUCCUGUUUUUAAGAUGGGAAUUGCUUUGGAUACUGUCGGGCUUGAGUGCAGGAGAGGUAAGUGGAAUUCCCAGUGUAGCGGUGAAAUGCGUAGAGAUUGGGAGGAACACCAGUGGCGAAGGCGACUUACUGGACUGUAACUGACGCUGAGGCGCGAAAGUGUGGGGAGCAAACAGGAUUAGAUACCCUGGUAGUCCACACUGUAAACGAUGAAUGCUAGGUGUAGGGGGUAUCGACCCCUUCUGUGCCGCAGUCAACACAAUAAGCAUUCCGCCUGGGGAGUACGGCCGCAAGGUUGAAACUCAAAUGAAUUGACGGGG